UACGUAGGGUGCAAGCGUUGUCCGGAAUUAUUGGGCGUAAAGAGCUCGUAGGCGGUUUGUCGCGUCUGCUGUGAAAUCCCGAGGCUCAACCUCGGGCCUGCAGUGGGUACGGGCAGACUGGAGUGCGGUAGGGGAGAAUGGAAUUCCUGGUGUAGCGGUGGAAUGCGCAGAUAUCAGGAGGAACACCGAUGGCGAAGGCAGUUCUCUGGGCCGUAACUGACGCUGAGGAGCGAAAGCGUGGGGAGCGAACGGG
rnacentral:rRNA from 1 species